rnacentral:sRNA from 1 species
GAGAAACGUCAGAUGCUGUCGAUCGAGCCGCAAAAGCUGGACUUUUUAAUCGAAUCUACGUAACUGUUGGACAAAAAGUUGGUAUCGUAGAAUUGACAAAGUUAGAACCACGAUUUGAG